rnacentral:lncRNA from 1 species
CCUCCAGUGACUGAUGGUGCAGGCUAGCCUUGAAGGACAGCUCUUCCUCCCUCCACACACUGCCAGCGCCAACUUUGUCUGACCAAGUUUCUUCAGCAGAAAAUGGAGGCUUGUAACAGAUGCACUGUGAGGCUGAGGCUGCACAGAAAACAGCUGAAGCACAGCCCUUCGAGAGUCCCGUGGAGAACUCGAGGAACAGGGGUGUCAAACCAAACACCAGAAGAAAAACUCUGUGAGACAUUCUGUGCCCAGUCUCCCUGAAUUCUGCAAACCCACUUUCUCCGCUAGAGUGAAGGUAACCGAGUCCUGGCCGUGAAAGCUGACUGGUAAUGCCUAGAGUUCGUCGCAAGGUGGCAACAUUGUGGCGAGAAAUAGAUAUUAAAAAUCCUGG